rnacentral:rRNA from 1 species
UACGGAGGGGGCUAGCGUUGUUCGGAGUUACUGGGCGUAAAGGGUGUGUAGGCGGUUGUUUAAGUUUGGUGUGAAAUCUCCCGGCUCAACUGGGAGGGUGCGCCGAAUACUGAAUGACUAGAGUGCGGGAGAGGUGAGUGGAAUUCCUGGUGUAGCGGUGAAAUGCGUAGAUAUUCGCAAGAACACCAGUGGCGAAGGCGGCUCACUGGCCCGGUACUGACGCUGAGGUGCGAAAGCGUGGGGAGCAAACAGG